rnacentral:rRNA from 1 species
GACGAACGCUGGCGGCGUGCUUAACACAUGCAAGUCGAACGGAAAGGCCCUGCUCUUGUGGCGUGCCUGAGUGCGGAACGGGUGAGUAACACGUGUGUAACCUGUACUUGUCUUUGGGAUAACAUCAGGAAACUGGGGCUAAUAUCCGAUCGGAUCUCCUGCAGCAUGGUGGGCGUUGGAAAACUUCGGCGGUUGGGGCUGGACUCGCGGGUUACCAGCUUGUUGGUGGGGUAGUGGCUUACCAAGGCUUUGACGGGUAGCCGGCCUGAGAGGGUUGCCGGCGACAUUGGGACUGAGGUACGGCCCAGACGCCUACGGGAGGCAGCGGUGGGAAAUAUUGCACAAUGAGCGGAAGUCUGAUGCGGCGGCGCCGCGUGCGGGAUGACGGCCUUCUGGUUGAGAACCUCUUUCGCCUGAGACGAAGCGUGAGUGACGGUAAUGAAUAAAGAAGCACCGGCUAACUACGUG